UCACUGAGUGCUAAUUCACUGAGCUUCCCUCCUGCUCACUCUUUCCCCUUUAAAUAUUGAAAUUCUCAAAACUUUCUUCGGAAAAAGUGCUGGUCACAGGUCCUACUGUGACUUGGGUUUCUAUUUCCCAGACACAUCCUCAACCUUGGCAAGAUAAACCUCUAAUCAAUUGAGAUCUGUGUCAGUCACUCUUUCGUUGGGUUACAUUUUGGUAGCCAUGAAGGCAUUCUCUGAAAGGAGUGUGAAGUUUAGACCUCGGUCUACAGCAGCUUCCCUAUCAGGGCCCUGCUACUAGCUGGAGCUCUUAUUGUCCUGACAGAUGACUUGAUUUGCUAAAGUGUGGGAGCUUCUCCCUCCAGAGAUCCCUGAUCUCCCAAUAAUUUUUGGUUGAGAUCUGAGGUUUAUUCUGCUGCUGAGCUCCUCUUCUGGGAGUUUUCUGCUUCUGUGAUGGCCAAGAGCAGGCUUCCACUUGGGCUCCAUCUCCAGGAAGUUCACAGAGUUUUGGGCCUUUGGAGUGGAAGGUCAUCCAAGAAACGAAGACCCCAGAGAGUAUGGCCGGACAGAAGUGAGCUGAGCUUUCGUUGCCGUCCAUCACUGCUGAAUGCUGCCGUCGCAGACCCUCCGCUGACUUCCACCCCUCCGGAUCCAGCAGGGUGUCUGCUGUGCUUCUGAUUCAGUGAAGCACCCAUUGCUGACUUCCACCCCUCCAGAUCCGGCAGGGUGUCCACUGCGCUUCUGAUCCAGUAAGGCACCCAUGGCGGCUCCUGCUCCCCACUGGGCUAGAGGCUUACCAUUGUUCCUGCCCAGCUAAGUGCCCGGGUUCAUCCUAAUCGAGCUGACCACUAGUCGCUGGGUUCCACAGUUCUCUUCCAUGACCCACAGCUUCUAAUAGAGCUAUAACACUCACUGCACGGCCGGAGGUUCCAUUCCUUGGAAUCCAUGAGGCCAAGAACCCCAGGUCAGAGAAUAAAAGGCUUGCUGCCAUCUUGGAUGCAGCCCACCACCAUCUUGGGAGCUCUAACAGCAAAGACCCACCCAGUAACAGUGUUGUGUGUAGGACAUUUCUCUCCCCAGUGUAGAGCUUCAUGCCAAGUUGCAUAAGGGCUUUCACAAAAAAAGCUCUAAGUGACUUGUAAUUUUGAUUGACUGGUAUGUAGCCAUGUAUGAAUGUGGUUGAACACAGAAGGAAACCAUCGAUAUUCACAUAUCUCUGCACUGAAACAUCUUUUUUUCACUAACUCAGCUCUGGUAUUUGCCUUUAGUCACCAUCUCAUAUCAUGACAUUUUCUAAGAUGAGUUUACCUCUGGGAUGACACUUGUCCUUCUUUCCUAGAAUUCUAAGAUGAGUUUACCUCUGGGAUGACACUUGUCCUUCUUUCCUAGAAUUCUAAGAUGAGUUUACCUCUGGGAUGACACUUGUCCUUCUUUCCUAGAAUGACCGCAUAUAGGUCUACUUCACAUACACUUAAAAUGUUUCUAAAACUUUUGGUUGCAUGAAGAACAAAAUGUUUACUUUUACUUGGAAAUAUUGGUGAGGUUUUCAUAGAGAAAAUGAGAAAUAGCUCCCUCUGAAUAGUGUACCAGAAUCUCACAGCAAACAAAAGUGGUGAAUCCUGGUGGGAAUGCAAAAUAGUACAGUUAUAGAAGAGUGGCAGUUUCUUACAAAACUAAAACCUACUUUUAUUAUAUGAUCUAACAAGAGUGCCCCUUGGUAUUUAUCCAAAUGAGUUGGAAACUUAUAUCCAUACAAAAGCCUGCAUACAAAUAUUUAUAAUAGUUCUAUUUAUAACUGCCUAAACUUGGAAGCAACUAAGCUGACCUUCAGUAGGUAAAUAGAUUUAAAAAAAAAAAACUAUGGAAUAUUUUGCAGUGCAAAGAAGAAAUAAGCUAUCAAGCUAUGUAAAGACACAGAGGAAUCUUGCCUAUAUAUUACUAAGUGAAAGAAACCAACCUGAAAAAGCUACCUACUAUAUGAUUCUCACUAUAUGGCAUUCUAGAAAAGACAAGAGUAUAGACAGUAAAAAUAUCAUAGUUUCCAAGUGUUGGAGAGAGGGAGAGAUGAAUAGGUAAGGCACAGAAGAUUUUUAGGCCAGUGAAACUAUUCUGUGUAAUACUAUAGUGGUGAAUACAUGUCAUCAAUACAUUUGACAAACAU
rnacentral:lncRNA from 10 species